GUGCUCGCUUUGGCAGCACAUAUACUAAAACAGGACCAAUGCAGAGAAGACUAGCAUGGCCCCUGCGCUAGGAUGACAUGCAAAUUCGUGAAGCGUUCCAUAUUUUU
rnacentral:snRNA from 1 species